AUUGAACGCUGGCGGAAUGCUUUACACAUGCAAGUCGAACGGCAGCACGGGGGCAACCCUGGUGGCGAGUGGCGAACGGGUGAGUAAUAUAUCGGAACGUGCCCAGUCGUGGGGGAUAACGUAGCGAAAGUUACGCUAAUACCGCAUACGAUCUACGGAUGAAAGCGGGGGAUCGCAAGACCUCGCGCGAUUGGAGCGGCCGAUAUCAGAUUAGGUAGUUGGUGGGGUAAAGGCUCACCAAGCCAACGAUCUGUAGCUGGUCUGAGAGGACGACCAGCCACACUGGGACUGAGACACGGCCCAGACUCCUACGGGAGGCAGCAGUGGGGAAUUUUGGACAAUGGACGCAAGUCUGAUCCAGCCAUUCCGCGUGCAGGACGAAGGCCUUCGGGUUGUAAACUGCUUUUGUACGGAACGAAAAAGCUCUUACUAAUACUAGGAGUCCAUGACGGUACCGUAAGAAUAAGCACCGGCUAACUACGUGCCAGCAGCCGCGGUAAUACGUAGGGUGCGAGCGUUAAUCGGAAUUACUGGGCGUAAAGCGUGCGCAGGCGGUUAUAUAAGACAGAUGUGAAAUCCCCGGGCUCAACCUGGGAACUGCAUUUGUGACUGUAUAGCUAGAGUGCGGCAGAGGGGGAUGGAAUUCCGCGUGUAGCAGUGAAAUGCGUAGAUAUGCGGAGGAACACCGAUGGCGAAGGC
rnacentral:rRNA from 1 species